UGAGGGAAUAUUGGGUCAAUGGGCGAGAGCCUGAACCAGCCAAGUAGCGUGCAGGACGACGGCCCUACGGGUUGUAAACUGCUUUUAUGAAGGAAUAAAGUCACCCACGUGUGGGUGUUUGCAUGUACUUUAUGAAUAAGGACCGGCUAAUUACGUGCCAGCAGCCGCGGUAACACGUAAGGUGCGAGCGUUGUUCGGAAUCAUUGGGCGUAAAGGGCAUGUAGGCGGUCUGUCAAGCCAGGCGUGAAAGCCAGGGGCUCAACCCCUGAACUGCGCUUGGAACUGGCGGACUGGAGUCGCUGAGGGGAACCGGAAUUCCUGGUGUAGGGGUGAAAUCUGUAGAUAUCAGGAAGAACACCGAUGGCGAAGGCAGGUUUCCAGCAGACGACUGACGCUGAGGUGCGAAGGUGCGGGGAGCAAACAGGAUUAGAUACCCUGGUAGU
rnacentral:rRNA from 1 species